GUGCUCACCUCAGCAUGACACAUGCGAAAAGUGGAACGAUACAGAGAAGAUUAGCAUGGCCCCUCCACAAGGAUGACACACAAAUUCGUGAAGUAUCCCAUAUAUUU
ensembl:snRNA U6 U6 spliceosomal RNA